rnacentral:lncRNA from 1 species
UUUCCUUUUUCAUUAAAAACUAAGUGGGGUUGAGGCGACAUUGUCAUUACCUGACAAAAACGCAAUAGUAAUAUAUUUUAUUCCAUACAAAUGGCUUUUUCCUUACUGUUUAAUAAUAGUUCUAAAUUGCAAGAUUCUCUACAUUGCUCAGAGAAGCAUCCGCUGAGUCAAUUUUCCAUUUUCCACUUCAAUUUAAUAUUCUUUUUUCUUACACCUAACAACUUUUAGGGCUACCAGUUUAAUUUGGAACUACUCUUCUUCUUGUUUCCACACUUGUUUCUCUUAAGCGGAAAAUUUUAUUUUGUAUCCGAUAUAACAUAUACUAAUUGUAUGAAGUUUCCU